AGAACGAACGCUGGCGGCAGGCCUAAUACAUGCAAGUCGAGCGGGCGUAGCAAUACGUCAGCGGCGGACGGGUGAGUAACACGUGGGAACAUGCCCUUCGGUACGGAACAACUCAGGGAAACUUGAGCUAAUACCGUAUGAUCCGGCAACGGCAAAGAUUUAUCGCCGGAGGAUUGGCCCGCGUCCGAUUAGCUAGUUGGUGAGGUAACGGCCCACCAAGGCACCGAUCGGUAGCUGGUUUGAGAGAACGACCAGCCACACUGGGACUGAGACACGGCCCAGACUCCUACGGGAGGCAGCAGUAGGGAAUCUUGGACAAUGGGGAAACCCUGAUCCAGCCAUGCCGCGUGAGUGAUGAAGGCCUUCGGGUUGUAAAACUCUUUCGGACGGGGACGAUAAUGACGGUACCCGUAGAAGAAGCUCCGGCUAACUUCGCGCCAGCAGCCGC
rnacentral:rRNA from 1 species